rnacentral:pre_miRNA from 1 species
AGCUUUUUGGAUCUGUGUCAAGAUUUCGGCAGACACCAGCCUAUCAGGAUCAACGAGACUUCCAAGAUGAGUGAGGCA